UUUCUUAUAGUAUAAUAGUAAAUACACGGGCUGCUAGCCCGAAACCCGAGGUUCGAUUCCCGGUAAAAUUA
rnacentral:tRNA from 1 species